rnacentral:rRNA from 1 species
GACGAACGCUGGCGGCGUGCUUAACACAUGCAAGUCGAGCGGAAAGGCCACUUCGGUGGUACUCGAGCGGCGAACGGGUGAGUAACACGUGAGUAAUCUGCCCCUGGCUUUGGGAUAGCCACCGGAAACGGUGAGUAAUACCGGAUACGACCACUUCUCGCAUGGGCUGGUGGUGGAAAGUUUCUUCGGCCAGGGAUGUGCUCGCGGCCUAUCAGCUUGAUGGUGAGGUAAUGGCUCACCAUGGCUUCGACGGGUAGCCGGCCUGAGAGGGUGACCGGUCACACUGGGACUGAGACACGGCCCAGACUCCUACGGGAGGCAGCAGUGGGGAAUAUUGGACAAUGGGCGGAAGCCUGAUCCAGCAACGCCGCGUGAGGGAUGACGGCCUUCGGGUUGUAAACCUCUUUCAGCAGGGACGAAGCGCAAGUGACGGUACCUGCAGAAGAAGCACCGGCCAACUACGUGCCAGCAGCCGCAGUAA